UGAGCUAUGAAGUUAAGAGCGUUUCUCUGGUCCGCCAGCGAGGGUCCUGUGGAUUAGAAACAGCGCAUAGGAGAAGAAGGAGCCUAGGUGCCAGGGGACCCAGCUGACCCGGCGGCCCUGGGAGUCUCUCCCCCCAGUCCGGGAGGCGGAGCCCCGGGAGUCGCGCGGGCCGCUGCGCCUUCCCUCUCUCGUCAGGAGGCGGGCGGCCGGGAAAUGAAGUAGAGCCCGGGCCCCGCGGGUGGGUGUCCUCGCCGCCGCCUUGGCGCAGCAGUGCGCCGCCACUCGCCUGCGGAUUGUUCUGGGGCACCUGGGCCGUCCUUUGGCCGGUGCCGUCGUAGCUUCCCCCACUUCAGGGCCUAUUGCCCCUGCCAGUUUCCAUCCUCAGCAAUUCCAGUAUACUUUGGAUAAUAAUGUGCUAAGCCUGGAACAGAGAAAAUUUUAUGAAGAAAAUGGAUUUCUUGUUAUUAAAAAUCUAGUA
rnacentral:lncRNA from 1 species